GACGAACGCUGGCGGCGUGCUUAACACAUGCAAGUCGAGCGGUAAGGCCCUUUCGGGGGUACGACGAGCGGCGAACGGGUGAGUAACACGUGGGUGACCUGCCCUCAGCUCUGGGAUAAGCCUGGGAAACCGGGUCUAAUACUGGAUAUGACUCCAUGACGCAUGUUGUGGGGUGGAAAGCCUUGUGCGGCUGAGGAUGGGCCCGCGGCCUAUCAGCUUGUUGGUGGGGUGANGGCCUACCAAGGCGACGACGGGUAGCCGGCCUGAGAGGGCGACCGGCACACUGGGACUGAGACACGGCCCAGACUCCUACGGGAGGCAGCAGUGGGGAAGUCUUGCGCAAUGGGCGAAAAGCCUGACGCAGCGACGCCGCGUGAGGGAUGACGGCCUGG
rnacentral:rRNA from 1 species